rnacentral:rRNA from 1 species
AGAGUUUGAUCAUGGCUCAGGAUGAACGCUAGCUACAGGCUUAACACAUGCAAGUCGAGGGGAAACGAUAUUGGAAGCUUGCUUCCGAUAGGCGUCGACCGGCGCACGGGUGAGUAACGCGUAUCCAACCUGCCCACCACUUGGGGAUAACCUUGCGAAAGUAAGACUAAUACCCAAUGACGUCUCUAGAAGACAUCUGAAAGAGAUUAAAGAUUUAUCGGUGAUGGAUGGGGAUGCGUCUGAUUAGCUUGUUGGCGGGGUAACGGCCACCAAGGCUACGAUCAGUAGGGGUUCUGAGAGGAACGGUCCCCCACACUUGGAACUGAGACACGGUACCAACUCCUACGGGAGCGA